AGAUCUAGCUUGCUAGAUGCUGACGAGUGGCGCACGGGUGAGUAACGCGUAUACAAUCUACCUUUAACUGAGGGAUAGCCCAGAGAAAUUUGGAUUAAUACCUCAUAGUAUUAUAGAAAGGCAUCUUUUUAUAAUUAAAACUCCGGUGGUUAAAGAUGAGUAUGCGUCCUAUUAGCUUGUUGGUAAGGUAAAAGCUUACCAAGGCUACGAUAGGUAGGGGGCCUGAAAGGGUGAUCCCCCACACUGGUACUGAGACACGGACCAGACUCCUACGGGAGGCAGCAGUGAGGAAUAUUGCACAAUGGAGGAAACUCUGAUGCAGCCAUGCCGCGUGCAGGAUGAAUGCCCUAUGGGUUGUAAACUGCUUUUAUACAAGAAGAAACCUCGGUACGUGUACCGACUUGACGGUAUUGUAUGAAUAAGCACCGGCUAACUCCGUGCCAGCAGCCGCGGUAAUACGGAGGGUGCAAGCGUUAUCCGGAUUUAUUAGGUUUAAAGGGUCCGCAGGCGGAAUAUUAAGUCAGUGGUGAAAGCCUACAGCUCAACUGUAGAACUGCCAUUGAAACUGUUAUUCUUGAGUAUGGAUGA
rnacentral:rRNA from 1 species